UGCGGAGGGUGCGAGCGUUAAUCGGAAUUACUGGGCGUAAAGCGCACGCAGGCGGUUUGUUAAGCUAGAUGUGAAAGCCCCGGGCUCAACCUGGGAUGGUCAUUUAGAACUGGCAGACUAGAGUCUUGGAGAGGGGAGUGGAAUUCCAGGUGUAGCGGUGAAAUGCGUAGAUAUCUGGAGGAACAUCAGUGGUGAAGGCGACUCCCUGGCCAAAGACUGACGCUCAUGUGCGAAAGUGUGGGUAGCGAACAGG
rnacentral:rRNA from 1 species